UGUAGGAGCGGGCUUGCUCGCGAAGGUGGUGUGGCAUUCGCUGAAUCCGGUGACUGGCACAGCGCUUUCGCGAGCAAGCCCGCUCCCCAU
rnacentral:misc_RNA from 1 species